GUCGUGUUGGAUUCACUCGGUAUCUUCUCCGUGAUCUCUGUUCGGACACUGUUUCAGAGCUAUUCAUUUUACCAUUGAAAAUUUUCCAACUAAAAUUCGAUAAUUCGAGUCAAGGCUGAAGUUACUAACNNNNNNAUGAGUACCCUGCUGAGGUGACUUAAGCGGAAUGCAAUAAUAUUUACCGAUGAAACCAUGCUCACCCAAAGAAAGCGAUAGAAAAAGGAGGUGGUGGUGGCGACG
rnacentral:misc_RNA from 1 species